GGCGGUCCUCGAGCCAGGAGACACUGGCGACGAGGUAGGGACGGUUGCGGAGGAUGCGGGAGACGCGGAACCGCUCCUGGCCCUUGCAUAUGAGAAAGAAGCGGUCGUCGGCGAGGCGCUCGUGCUUGACGAUCUCGCCGACGCAGCCGACUUCAGCGAGGGCGCCGGAAUCGGAGAAGAUGACGCCGAAGCGGAGGUCAGUGUGGAGGAGUGUGUGCAUCAUGAUGCGGUAGC
rnacentral:misc_RNA from 1 species